GACGAACGCUGGCGGCGUGCUUAACACAUGCAAGUCGAACGGAAAGGCCCUGCUUUUGUGGGGUGCUCGAGUGGCGAACGGGUGAGUAACACGUGAGUAACCUGCCCUUGACUUUGGGAUAACUUCAGGAAACUGGGGCUAAUACCGGAUAGGAGCUCCUGCUGCAUGGUGGGGGUUGGAAAGUUUCGGCGGUUGGGGAUGGACUCGGGGCUUAUCAGCUUGUUGGUGGGGUAGUGGCUUACCAAGGCUUUGACGGGUAGCCGGCCUGAGAGGGUGACCGGCGACAUUGGGACUGCGAUACGGCCCAGACUCCUACGGGAGGCAGCAGUGGGGAAUAUUGCACAAUGGGCGGAAGCCUGAUGCAGCAACGCCGCGUGCGGGAUGACGGCCUUCGGGUUGUAAACCGCUUUCGCCUGUGACGAAGCGUGAGUGACGGUAAUGGGUAAAGAAGCACCGGCUAACUACGUG
rnacentral:rRNA from 1 species